rnacentral:miRNA from 1 species
UACCCGUUAACUCGAAGAAAGUG